GAGCAGGAACGAGUUAUCUGAACCUUCGGGGAACGAUAACGGCGUCGAGCGGCGGACGGGUGAGUAAUGCCUAGGAAAUUGCCCUGAUGUGGGGGAUAACCAUUGGAAACGAUGGCUAAUACCGCAUGAUGCCUACGGGCCAAAGAGGGGGACCUUCGGGCCUCUCGCGUCAGGAUAUGCCUAGGUGGGAUUAGCUAGUUGGUGAGGUAAGGGCUCACCAAGGCGACGAUCCCUAGCUGGUCUGAGAGGAUGAUCAGCCACACUGGAACUGAGACACGGUCCAGACUCCUACGGGAGGCAGCAGUGGGGAAUAUUGCACAAUGGGCGCAAGCCUGAUGCAGCCAUGCCGCGUGUGUGAAGAAGGCCUUCGGGUUGUAAAGCACUUUCAGUCGUGAGGAAGGU
rnacentral:rRNA from 1 species